CUCCAAACCUUUCCUAUUUAUAUACUUAUCUAAGUGUCUUUUAACCGUUGUAAUUGUGCCCGUAUGACCACUUCCUCAGGAAAUUCAUUCCACACAAGAAGUGAUCCCUCCAUCCCUGUCCUAUCCCAUAAAAUGGUAGCAGGAGUAGAACAUUAGGCACUUUGAGUCUGUGGCAUCAUUCAGUAUGAACAUGGUUCAUCAUCCAACUUUACCACUGUUCCACUUUCUUCCAAAAUCUUUUGAUCCCUUUCAUUCCUAAUACAAGGGAUAAAUCCUGGUUCAAAACCUUCUUUGUUUUCGUCUCAACGAAUUUCUGUGGCAGAACAGUUCAAGGAAGGGUCACUGGACCCGAAAUGUUAACUCUGAUUAUUUUCCUCACAGAAACUGCCAGACCUGCUGAGCUUUUCCAGCAACUUUGUUUUUGUUCGUGAUUUGAAAUUAGGUAUUUGAUUCUGUGGCUCACCACUAUUAAUCAUGAAUGGAGGUUGUCAGAAAGAGUGAAACCAUUCCACCAUGGAGCUGGUGAACAGCCUCUCAUCAGUACGAGCUCAAUGGUGCAGGCUUCAGCGGAAGAUUUUCAAAUUGUAGACACAGUGAAAUUGUUUGAAUGGAUAUUGAAAGGAGAGGAUUCACAGUUGGGAAACUGCAACCAAACAUUACAUCGGGAUUUCACAGAAUUGCCCACUUCAUUGUAACCUGAAUCUCACUAGAUUUUUGAACAUGGAAGGAGAAAGCACCGUUGACAGCGGUGAUAAACUGUACACGUUUUGUGUGUGUGCACAAGCAUUCAACCGAUCAUCUGACCUCUCGAAACACAACUGGAGUCACAAGGAGAAACCAUGGAAAUGUGGGAUCUGUGGGAAGGGAUUAACAUCCACAACUGAACUGGAAACUCAUUGGUGCAGUCACACUGAGGAAAGUGUGGCAAGGGCUUCGCUCAGAAAUCCCACCUGCUGAGACACUGGGGAGAGACCAUUCUCCCGCUCUACUUGUGGGAAGGGAUUCACUAAUUCCUCCAAACUGCUGAUACACCAGCGAAUUCAUGCUGGGGGGAGGCCGUUCACCAGAUUCUAGUGUGGGCAGGGAGCACCAAGCAGCUGUGGAGUCCUGUGUGGAGUAAAUGGGAAAUUGUUCAGAUACUAUUGAUUUACAACAGGUAGGUAAACAUUGAAGAACAUUGCCUUGCUUUCAGUUCAGAAUAAUCAAGGAUUGAUUUUAGUUGAAAAAUCCAGAGAUUGAAAGUUUUUUUUAUUCAAUUUGGAGGAGAUCUGACCGGGGUCAGACUCAAGUUUAGUUUCUCUGCUACAGAGAGAUCAGAACAAUUCGGUGAAAAGCAGUCACCUCAGUAGAAACAGAAAAUGUUUAAGAUCUGAAAUUUGAGAGAAUUCAUGAAAGAAACUUCUAUAGUUCACAGGAAAUAUCUGGGCCAAAUCAAUUCAGAUAUAACUUACACGUUUGAUAUUUAGGUGUAAUUUCUUUGGACUUCAAUCUGUGUAAAUUGAUGCUUAGCACGUUGGUGCAGCAGGUAAUCAGGAUGGCCAAUGGAAUGCAUUGGUCCUUAUUUCAAGGAGGUUGGUGUAUAAGAAUAAGGAAGUCUUACUGCAACAGUACCAGGUGCUGGUGAAACUUUGUCUUGGGGACUGGGAGCAGUUUUGGUCCCCUUAUUGAAGGAAGAUGAUCAUUUUAUUGGAGGCAGUUCAGAGAAUGUUCUUUAGGGUGACCUG